rnacentral:lncRNA from 10 species
AAAAACUGGAAGCAUUCCCUUUGAAAACCGGCACAAGACAGGGAUGCCCUUUCUCACCACUAAUUUUCUUUUCUCGGUGUGUUGAUAACUUAACAUUCACCAAGACUUUGACAAUGCAGAAGUCCCGAGAAAUAGGCAGGAUAAAUUCCACUUGCACCAAGGACAACCACAUUUCUACUUUAUAAUUCUUCAUUUGUAAACAUGGUAUUCCUGACCAACCCCCAAUAUGGCAUCUACAGUUGCUUCCCUAGAAGCACACAGAUGUGUUUGUACACAGCUGGCUUGUUUCCCUGCAUCAAUUAUAAUCUAUGGCUCCCAGGUACCACAGUGUUAAUAGUCAAAACAGUCAUUAACGCCAUGACCUGGUCCUGUUCAGCAGAUUUUUUAUAAUGGGAAAAAGAAUAAAAAUGUUUUCUUCACACAAGAGAUCAGCUGGAGGAGUAAAUACAAAUGAAUUAAGCAAACAAACCACCAAAUGCAAAUGAUCAGCUUCUUUUUAAAGGUGCCAGUUUCCCUUCUUCUCCCUCCCUAAACUGGUUUCUAUCUUAUUUUGGGUGUGGAUGUACAUCUAUCAAAAUGCUGGAGCUGGCACUGUCAGGAAUGUCAUCAUUUAAGUUUAAAAAGCAACACAUAAAGUUUAAUUUCCUUAAACAUGAAUUUGACCAAAAUUCUAUUUGAUCCAAAAGUUCCCAAUGCUUUCCCUCUUUCUAGGCUCUCCUCACAGUCCUGUAUCACCUUCAGCCAGAGCAGGCCUAGCAAAUCUCAGUGCACUCAGCAUGAGUUCUGAAACCUCCCUGCUUCCCUCAAAGGCCCCAAUCCUAGCUGAAAAUCCCACUCUAACACCAUUUUUCAGCUUAUGUUGUUAUUUCCAGGAAAUCUUUGUACAGCACAGAUGUCUUUUGGGAAGAGUAAGUGAUUGACAGUCACCCACACUGAAAUGAGCUUUAGUAUGUCAGAUUGAGAGGGAACAGUGACGAUCCUGAGGGAACAGAAGAUGGAGAGUUUUGCUGGAAGAGAAGAGAAGAGAAAGCUCUAAGACAAGCAAAAAUUCCGCUAAGGAUAUUGACCUCCGGCUCCAUCCAUAUUCCCACAAAGGACAUGAUCUCAUUUUUUAUGACUGCAUAGUAUUCCAUGGUGUAUAUGUAUCAUAUUUUACUUAUACAGUCUACCAUCGAUGGGCAUUCAGGUUGAUUCCAUGUCUUUGCUAUUUCAAAUAGCACUGCAAUGAAUAUACACGUGCAUGUGUCUUUAAGAUAGAAUGAUUUAUAUUCCUUUGGGUAUAUAUUCAGUAAUGGGAUUAUUGGGUCUAAUGGUAGUUCUGUUUUUAGGUCUCUGUGGAAUCAUCACACUGUCUUCCAUAAUGGUUGAACUAAUUUACACUCCCACCAACAGUGUAUAAGCAUUCCUUUUUCUCUGCAACCUCGCCAGCAUCUGUUAUUUUUUUACUUUUUAAUCAUUGCCAUUCUGACUAGUGUGAGAGGAUAUCUCACUGUGGUUUUGAUUCACAUUUCCCUAAUGAUCAGUCAUGUUGAUUUCAAUUAAUUAAUUAAAUCAACCAAUCAAAUUAAUUAAUUUUGGCAAAUAAAAUUAAUUACAUGUAAUGCUAAUAAUUAUUAAAAUUAAUUUUAAUGAUUUGUGCUCUCCUUUAGAAGAUCUUAA